AUUGAACGCUGGCGGCAUGCUUUACACAUGCAAGUCGAACGGUAACAGGCCGCAAGGUGCUGACGAGUGGCGAACGGGUGAGUAAUGCAUCGGAACGUGCCCAGUCGUGGGGGAUAACGCAGCGAAAGCUGCGCUAAUACCGCAUACGAUCUCUGGAUGAAAGCGGGGGACCGAAAGGCCUCGCGUGAUUGGAGCGGCCGAUGUCAGAUUAGGUAGUUGGUGGGGUAAAGGCCCACCAAGCCAACGAUCUGUAGCUGGUCUGAGAGGACGACCAGCCACACUGGGACUGAGACACGGCCCAGACUCCUACGGGAGGCAGCAGUGGGGAAUUUUGGACAAUGGGCGCAAGCCUGAUCCAGCAAUGCCGCGUGCAGGAAGAAGGCCUUCGGGUUGUAAACUGCUUUUGUACGGAACGAAACGGUCCGGGUUAAUACCCUGGGCUAAUGACGGUACCGUGAGAAUAAGCACCGGCUAACUACGUGCCAGCCGCCGCCGUAACAC
rnacentral:rRNA from 1 species